UACGUAGGGUGCGAGCGUGUCCGGAAUUACUGGGCGUAAAGAGCUCGUAGGCGGUCUGUCACGUCGGCUGUGAAAACCCGAGGCUCAACCUCGGGCCUGCAGUCGAUACGGGCAAACUAGAGUACUGCAGGGGGAGACUGGAAUUCCUGGUGUAGCGGUGAAAUGCGCAGAUAUCAGGAGGAACACCGAUGCGAAGGCAGGUCUCUGGGCAUUAACUGACGCUGAGGAGCGAAAGCAUGGGGGAGCGAACAGGA
rnacentral:rRNA from 1 species